GUCUUCGUAGUGUAAUGGUCAGCACACUCGGCGCGUUUUCGAGAAGUCAGAGGUUCGAAUCCCGGCAAGGGCA
rfam:Stegodyphus mimosarum contig109512, whole genome shotgun sequence.